rnacentral:rRNA from 1 species
CGCGAAUGGCUCAUUACAACAGCUAUAAUUUACUUGAUCUUGACAAUCCUACUUGGAUAACUGUGGUAAUUCUAGAGCUAAUACAUGCACCAAAGCUCUGACCUUGCAGAAGGAAAGAGUGCAUUUAUUAUUUGAAAACCAAGCGGCUUCGGUCGUUUUUGUUGACUCAGAAUAACUAAGCUGAUCGCAUGGUCUUGUACCGGCGACGUGUCUUUCAAGUAUCUGCCUUAUCAACUUUCGAUGGUAGUGUAUUUGACUACCAUGGUGGUGACGGGUAACGGAGGAUAAGGGUUCGACUCCGGAGAAGGGGCCUGAGAAAUGGCCACUACGUCUAAGGAUGGCAGCAGGCGCGCAAAUUACCCACUCUCAGAACAUUGAGGAGGUAGUGACGAAAAAUAACGAGACCGUUCUCUACGAGGCCGGUCAUCGGAAUGGGUACAAUCUAAACCCUUUAACGAGUAUCUAUGAGAGGGCAAGUCUGGUGCCAGCAGCCGCGGUAAUUCCAGCU